CCGCCUCGGCCUCCCAGAGUGCUAGGAUUACAGAUGUGAGCCACUACGCCCAGCCUAAUCCCUGUUUUGAUGCCCCUGGAAAUAAAAAAAGAAAAUCUGUUGCAUUAGAAAAGCUUCCUGACAAAGUGCCGUGAGGGCAACACAGGAGGGUCAGCGUCGAGGCACAAUGAAGGAGGAAGGGCGGGUGUUGGGCUGGCGAUUUCAGAACUAGAAGCACAAUCUCCAGGAGAAGCUUUAAAUUUUUUUCUCUCAGUAAACACAGUUAAAUGUCUAAGAAAAGCAGGUGGGAAAGCUGUGGGCGUAUCUCUUUGGACUUUCUGAAGAUACAGCUUGCUCUGCAGGGAAUGAAGGAAAGAAACCUGCCCGUGAGCAGGGUGCUGGUUAGGUGACUGCUAGUCCUACACUGUACUCUGUUGAGUCCAUAUUAAAGAGUAGAGCUGCACAUUUUAGACAAAGUAUUUAAAAACACUUAGAUAAGUAUAUUUCUGGAGCCGUGCAGCUAGCAAAGCACUCGCAUUGUGCUAAUCCACUUAGUAACCCUGGCUCCUGUUGGCAAAUGGGUGCUGGCAGUUGAAGAGACGCUGCCACAGGCAUAGACACUGGGGAUUUGUCCUGGCUGAGUGACAUCCCCUUUUUGGCCCUGUGUCUUUGUUCCACUGCUGGCUGAAGCCUCAGGACUGACAGCCUGGUUUAACAUCCAUUUCUAGCUCGGCCCUAGAGGACACGGCACACACAUCUGCUGCUGGCCCUCCGCUGUGACUUUCUCCUGUCCUCCACAGACCUAUCCUGGGCCCCAAGGGACUGAAUGAUGGGGACAACCUGGAACGUUGUCCUAUAAAGAUACACUCUGUCAAAAGAGUUAAUCUCUUGGGGUUAAUAUCUCUGUUAAGGGAAGAAUAAUUAGAAAAUUAAUAAUGCCUAUUAUUGUUUCCUAAAACAAGGGCAUUCAUCUUUAUAAACUUUAGGAAAUGAAAUUGUACUUACAGUGCUGUGAGUUACAUUUUAGUUUCCAGGAUUUUGCAUGUCAAGCCAGGGAGCUGGGUUCUACUUUUAAAGUUAAUAGUUCUAAUGAUAAGUCCUUUUAGUUGAAAAUUUAGCUUGGGCAAGAGAGGUACACACACAUACACCUGAACUUCACUAGGUAAUCAUGGACAUAAACCUUUAGCAAAGAGAACAUAGCAUUAAAUUCUUAUAGUCUUUUGAUGGAGUCUUGAAGAAGUGGGAAAAUCUGGAAUCCAGUCUCUUCCCACUAGGAGGGUUCCCUGUGGGCAUAUUACUGCAGUCUCAUUUAUAAGAAAGAAAAUCCCAUGGGAACUAAAUCUGUUUCACAAAGUCCUAAUAACCAAUCUGCUCACCAGAAAUGAAUAUGAUAAUGAGACUUGUGGUCUGUGAAGGGCACCUUCAGUCAGUCACCAUUAUGUCACUAAGCCACCUUAUGUCUUAUCUGAGUUCACAAAACACUGGCAUGUGAGUGACCUUGUUUGAUUCUCCUGACAGUCUCAGAGAUAGAUAAGGCAGGUCAUCAUUUUCCCUCAUUUUGCAAAUAAGUAAACUGUGGUCCAAAGAGGUUGAGACUUGCUUGAGUUCUCAUAACCAGAAAGUGUCAUAUCUUGGGCUGGAAACCAGCUCUUUGAAAUCUGUCUGUCCUUUUGCUGCUGUGCCAUUCUGACUUGAAGUGUGUGCUGUCACGAGGCAAGGGUCCCGCCAAGAGCUUUAUAAAGCUGGUAAAUCAUCACACCAAGUGCCUUAGAACUGCUCAGGAUGACUGUCCCUUUACCUGCUGAUCAUGGUCUUUAGGCUCUUCAGAGAGGAAGUCCAGCCCUCUAACCCUGGGCAUGCUCUGCCCUGCAGAGAUGGGUGUUCAUUUGUUCUGAUGUGAAGCCUGCUGCCAGGUAUGGCUCCUGGCAAACCAUGAGCUGCCCCGGCCAGGAGAGGCAAGAAUCAUUUACCAUGAAGCUUGGCUGUGGCCUUGUACUCCAUGGACCUUGUGUCUGCAGCUAAUGAUUGUAGAACAAAAACAAAAUUAAGCCACUACAGACAAAAGGGGGAAAUGGAUUUACAAAUAAUGAGUACAUGAUAAUGAUGAUGAUGAUACAUUUUGUUACAUCUUUCACUCCAGAGCAGAGAUGAUAGGACAUAGCAUUAUAUUAUGUUCUGAUGCCCAUAGCACCUUAAAAACAAUUAUGUAAAUGGCUGGAAAGAGCCCUGAGCUGGCAAUCAGCAGUAUUCUGGUUCUCCUUGCCAAGGGCCUUCAGCUAUAACCAUAUACCUUUGUCCCUUACACACUUCUCUACUUUGCCUUGCUUUCCUCAUCUAUAAAAUGGGGAUGAUUUUGCCUAAACCUCAUACUCUGUUACAGGAUGAACCAGAUUGCAAAUGUGAAGUGCCUGAAUGAAGUAUUGCAUAGACAAGAUGAUAAAAAACGUCUCUGGUUACUUGAGCAUCUCAGAAGGAAUAUCUGGAAAAUAUAACUAGCUGAUAUUUCAUAGUAUUUUACGAAAUAUUUUCAGAUGGAUUCUUCCUUUGUCUGUCACAAACUAUGAUACCUGCCUGCCUUUUGCACGCCGGGAAAUGGAAGUUCUUGCUCAUGUCACAUCACUGAGCUUCAAAGACCAUCAGAAUUUCCUGAGUGACAGGAGUGUCUUUGUUGUACUAAUGAGGUGACUCAGGCUGACCCCUGGACAGCGUCAGGAUGGAGACUGGCCACCAGAAGGACCACACAUGUGAUUAGAGGGCUGGAACUUUGGAACAGCUUGACCUCUAAGAAAGAAAGGGUCGCUGAGGACUGAGUUCAAUCAUGUGGCCACUGAUUUAAUCGAUUGCACCUGUGCAAUGAAACACCAACAGCAAGCCUGGACGCCAAAGCUCCUGGAGCUUCCUGGCUGGUGCGGCUGGGACAGAGUGACCACACCAGACGCUGGAAAUAUGUGGCUGAUCCUAGGUGCCCUCUGCCCCUCGCUUGUUCUCGCCCUGUGCCCUCGAUGCCACGGAAAGCCAGCCGUCAAGAGGAGGAAAGCCACGUCAGCGCCGCUCUUUCAUACAUGCCAGGACGUGUUCUCCUCGUGGAUCCAGUGCACUUGACACACAAUUUGCGACUCUUUUGGCUACUCAGAGAAGGAUGAAUUGGGACUGAAACCGGUCUUAGCAGAUAGCAGUUUGGAGAGGCGCUAUCUCUGGGGGUGGUGGUGGCUGGAGUGGAUGACCUGGCCAAGCACCAUCACAGAAAAUUCUUAGCUGGGAUCUCUUUGAAUAUUGCUUCUCACCAUUGCUGAUAUUCUCUCAAUCUGAAAUUCACAUCAGGCCGUGACAGUGCUCCAUGGUAACAUCGUCCCUGCCAGGGCACCUCUGAAUGCAGAUGAGGCCAUGCAUAUGAAAGCACUUUGUGAACAGGACGGUGCUCGGUACAUGCAGAUCGCCCCUACGAAUUGCACACGUCUACUUGUUCACCAUGAGCUAUCCUCCUCGGUCUAGCCUGCUUUGAAAUCCAUCAACCUGAUAUCUCAAGUGGGAUGACUCACUGCCACAAUGUUUGAAAUGUGAUAGGCUUGGCAGGGGAUGUAUGCACUGAGUUUGUCUCCCUCCCUAGCCCUGCCCUUUGGCCACAUUUUGUCUCCCUGUCAGCUGUUGGGCCCAGCCUCACACAGAGACUCAGACCUUUGAGACUAAAAUAGCCGUGACUAGGCAAUGCCACUGGUAGUCUAAAUAACUGCCUUCUCUCUUUAAAUGCCUGCAUUGGAUUUAUUGCCAAUGGUUGGAUCGAUUCCUCGGUGCUCAACUGCAAUCCAAGUCUUUAAGUCUUUCUGAACCUCCACUUCAGCUACUUCAUUGAGAUGGAUGGGCUGGGGGUGCCACCCCCAGGGCAGAGAGCUCUGUCUGCAUGGAGCCUUAGGGAUAAAAAUACACCUGGCUACGGGGGCAAAGGAGCAGAGAAACAGUCCCUACGUUCACUUCCCCUGGUGCCUGGGGGCCACGCGACCUGCAGCUGCUGGGACAGCUCGUGUGGGGCGGGGCGUGCACGGAGGCCGUCCUCACAGGGGCUGCAUUUGCUGAGUGUGAACAAUUUCACACUUGGGUCUCUGGCAGUCCCAGCAGGUCCAUCCCUGCUUUAGUGGAGAAGCUAAAAGCUUCUUCAGGUCAGCAGGCUGUGCCUCUGGGUCCCGGUGGCCUCUGGGGGCAACCACAACAACACAGAGCAGGGAAGAAACAGCUCGUGACCUCGUCUGUGUUUUCAGUGAUUGGCGGCCGCCAGCCUGGCGCUCUGGCCAGGCCCUGCCAACUGCCCGCCUAGGCCCACAUUGCCCUCCUCAUCCAGCCUGCCUCCGUGGGGACAGACAGCCCACGGGCCCUCGCGUGUAGCUGGUGUGUGCCGUUGCUGCCCUCUCCCUGCAGGACAGAUCCCCAGGGGCCCUGUGCCCCCAGAUCACACAGUCUGCCUUGUGUGCAUUUGGGUCGCAGUGAACGUCCCAGCCAUUAUAACUUACUCUGUGAUCCCUAGCUAGCCUUCAGAAGUCUAGGUAGGCAGCUUUUGGCCACAAAAAGAAGACACUACCUAUAUUUCCAAGGAUUUGAGUAAAGCUUGAAGUUGGUGCAGA